UGCCCAGAAAGCAGUUAACAGUGCCAC
rnacentral:piRNA from 1 species